rnacentral:lncRNA from 1 species
CUCUCCUCCCCAAAAGCUUGAAGACUUCUCAUGUUUCAUUAAUGGUUUCAUCUUCCAUUUUUCUCAUCAAAAUCUUGUCAUCCUUAUGAUGAGAUAUGAUUUGUGCUACCAACAUAGAAGUUGAUCUAUUUGUUUUGUAUAUGGUAAAUUUAUUGUUGUGAAGUUUGGUCGAUUUUUGUGGAAGGUUCAAUUAUGUUGGAAUUUUGUUGAAUUUUUGAUGAUUUUUUAUCAUCUUAUUUGUUUAUUGUUCAUUCAGUAUUGGAUUUCUUGAUUUUAUUGAAAAUUUAAUCUAUGUUGAUUGUUUUUUAAGAUUUGUAUUUGACAUUUAUAGAUUUGCUUGCUUCAAGACCGCAAUAAACCGACCGUAUGAUGUUCACCACCAAAACUGCCACCUGAACAAACUUUUGUCUCAAACGAAAGGUGAUGGUCCUCUAUAUGUCACCUGCAGUUUGUUGUGAGUUGAGUGUCUGAGCCUGUAAUCGAUCAAUUGUCAACCCCUAUAUGUGACACAAUGUGAUUGAAUAAUGAUGGUGAU